CAAGUACUCCCUCCGUCCGGAAUUACUUGUCAUCAAAAUGGAUGUGUCUAGAACUAAAAUAAAUCUAGAUACAUCCAUUUCAAUGACAAGUAUUUUCGGACGGAGGGAGUACAAG
rfam:Triticum aestivum genome assembly, contig: Triticum_aestivum_CS42_TGACv1_scaffold_053074_1BS